ACUUUAUUAGUGUAAUACAUAUAAAAUUUUCAAUUUUAAGAAAUAAUAUAGUUAAAGUU
rnacentral:tRNA from 1 species